rnacentral:misc_RNA from 1 species
AUUGUUCAGUUCCGGCGAUUGUCUAAAUUCAUGGAAAGGGCAGAUCGAAGCCUACGAUUGGAAUCAGAAUAUUUGGAGUGAGGUCGACGGAUCUCGAUUCGAGGCUUUGUCGGCAACGAAAUUCGUCACGAUGGCACCGGCCGGAGCUGACUUGUACUUUCUUGCUGGUCGUAGGAUGCCAGAUCAGCCGUCUAAGAUGACUUCGAUUGUCCACGUAUUUGACACGUCGGCC